rnacentral:hammerhead_ribozyme from 1 species
GCAUUGCUGACGAGUCCCAAACAAGAGGAAGCAAGUGUCUAAUAC